GGGCACUUAGCGCAGCUGGGAGCGCACAUCCUUGACGUGGAUGGGGUCAGGGGUUCGAGUCCCUUAGUGCCCACGA
rnacentral:tRNA from 1 species